UACGUAGGGUGCAAGCGUUGUCCGGAAUUAUUGGGCGUAAAGAGCUCGUAGGCGGUUUGUCGCGUCUGCUGUGAAAACUCGGGGCUUAACUCCGGGCCUGCAGUGGGUACGGGCAGACUAGAGUGCGGUAGGGGAGACUGGAAUUCCUGGUGUAGCGGUGAAAUGCGCAGAUAUCAGGAGGAACACCGGUGGCGAAGGCGGGUCUCUGGGCCGUAACUGACGCUGAGGGGCGAAAGCGUGGGGAGCGAACAGG
rnacentral:rRNA from 1 species